ensembl:snRNA U6 U6 spliceosomal RNA
GUGCUCACUUCAGCAGCACUUGUACUAAAAUUGGAACAACAGAAGAUUAGCAUGGCCCCUGCGCAAGGCUAACAUAUACAUUCAUGAAGUAUUCUGUAUUUAA